rnacentral:lncRNA from 1 species
GUGGCCAUCGAGCAAGUGGAGAACUCGCUCGACGGGAAUACUCGUAGAGUGGUGGCUGCGUAGAGUGGAGGGCUAUUGUUGUUGUUGUUGUUGUUGGAGAUCUUGAACAACCUCCAUCAGCCUUUUCACCUGUUGCACGAGGAUAGCAAAUUCAGAAUCUACCGUCACCGAGGGUCAUGAAGCACUUGGCUCUCCAUGGGUUACCGAAGGUGCAUCACGCCGCGAUGAGUGUCGAACUGAACCAGCAGAGACAUUCUGUGCCCUUAUCUUGGCCAUGGAGGUCCUUGAGCAAGAAAAUUUUUCUCUGCUCGAUAGUCUCCUUUUCUGGUGCGCCAAACUAUUGCGGCCUUGUUCUGAUGGAUAGUCAGUAGUCGGUCUGAAGCUGACUAAGAGUUGUGUCUAUCAGUUGGUGGCGGGAUUGCUGAAGAAUGGCGUGUCAUGCCAGAGAAGGUUCACAC